AGAAGACCAAGCAUGAGAAGCUCCAUGCCUUAGUUUGAAACAGAUUUGGGUUUCCGAGGAGGUGAGGCCUGAGGUGCUUGGAUCCCCUGAAGCUGUAGAUACAACCUUGAAACAACAGCUUCUGGUCGCGAGGAGCAUACAUCUGGAGAAGGCAGGGGAUGAGGAUGAGGAUGCUGAAGGGUCCAGAUCAGCACUUGAUGCCUGCAAAUACUUCAGCAGGUUAACUGCAGAGGCUGAAACCGAGAACUGGACAUUACAAAACGAUGCAUGCAUUUGCAGUUGCCUAGCUGUAGCCAAAGAUAAACCUGUGUCUUCGACUCCUGAGGAUGAUUAAAAAAGACCGGGCAACUCAGCGGGACUCUCAGCCAUGCCUGGACAAGCAAGUCGAGUCUUUCUCCAGAGAAGUGGGAGCUGUCUGUCAAGGGGCACGGUCUCACCAGCAUCUGUGGCCGAGGACUGACGGCAUCACUGGACUUCUUCCUCUUCCCUUCAUUGUGACAGGGCACAUACUCCACAGCACGGCAGUGCUGUCCAGUCUGAGUCUUGGAGCAAUAAGAGCCACCUGAGAAGAAGCAACCAGGACAAAGAACCGGCUGUCUCCUGUCUUCUUGUGACCCCAGCCUCCAUCCACGACCAAGUGGUUCAAAAAAACAGCCA